rnacentral:rRNA from 1 species
AUUUAGGUAGCGCCUCGUGAAUUCAUCUUCGGGGGUAGAGCACUGUUUCGGCUAGGGGGUCAUCCCGACUUACCAACCCGAUGCAAACUACGAAUACCGUAGAAUGUUAUCACGGGAGACACACGGCGGGUGCUAACGUCCGUCGUGAAGAGGGAAACAACCCAUACCGCCAGCUAAGGUCCCAAAGUCAUGGUUAAGUGGGAAACGAUGUGGGAAGGCACAGACAGCCAGGAUGUUGGCUAAGAAGCAGCCAUCAUUUAAAGAAAGCGUAAUAGCUCACUGGUCGAGUCGGCCUGCGCGGAAGAUGUAACGGGGCUAAACCAUGCACCGAAGCUGCGGCA